rnacentral:lncRNA from 1 species
AUUGGACUGUAUAAAUCACUUUUCACCAGAAGCAAAUAUCAGGUGGUACUAACAAAGGAAAAGCUACACAGAAGAAGAGUACUGACUUCUGAACUGUAUGUUUCGUUAGCCUGGAUUUGACAAGGCUAACGAAUGAUGAAUCAUGACUGUAUUCCCACUCUCCUUGGUUCAGAGUUGAGUGGUAUUAGAAGUCCAGAACUGCAGCUUGUACAGGGAUGUAUGACUGGCUUUAUGUUAUCUCGAGAAACAUACCUUUGUUUAAAGGUUGAAACCAUGGCAAUGAGAUGGAAAAUACAAGUUUAUGAUGUACAUUUAUAUUUGUAACUCAAGAACACCAAAGGGGGGAAAAAAAGAACACCAAGGGAGAUGUGAUACCUUACUUACAUUGACUGAAAGACAAAACAUGGAACUAGAGAAAAAGGAGAAGCCAGAGAAAUGGAAAUGAAGACAAAAGCCUUCUGUAAGUGUCAUGAACACAUGCAGAUAUAGAAAUUGUUAAAUUUCACAUUUUUCAUUUUAAGAACACUACCUGGGUAUUGAUGUGCAGAGUUUUUUCCUUUGUUUUUAAUAAAUAAUACAGCUGAGUCAGCUAAAGUAAAAUUUUUAAUUUGAUUGCACCAGGAAAAUAAUGUUAUAAGAAAAAGUUCCUGAAAAUCUGGGGAGGUGUAUGUCAUGCAUGCUAAGAGGGCACUGUUCUCUUCUGAGUACAAGUCAUAAUUUUAGAAUAAUUUAAGAAAUAUUAGGCAAAUGGUGGCAUUGCAACCUUUACUGUUAGUGUCUAAGCUUUGACUUAUUGUCCCAGUGAUAUCUUAGCAAUGUAAAGGGAAGCAUUUUAAGGAGAAAAAGUAACCUUUUAUUGUUAUAAUGCCACAGUGCAUAUAGUUCAUUUUUGUAUUAGUCUUGUGAUGCAAAGUAAUCUUUUUGCUUGUUUGUAGACACAAAAGCAUAAAACAAAUGGAGCACCCAAGAAUCAAAGAGGAGAAAAGAAGAUGAAAGGAUGAAUGUGCAUUUGUUUUGUAAUCACUAAUGGGUGUUCAUAAAAUGUAUUACGCAAUGCUCAAUUAUCAUGACAUCAAAAGGGAUCGAGUUUACCUGUUCAUUGUGAUCUAUAGUGUAGUUUCAUUUUUUAAAAUGCAACAGCUCUGCUGAAGUAUUUUAUCAUUAUCACUUGAAGUAAUAAAAUGGGCUUUAUUUAUGAAUAAAUGUUUCAUUUAUUUUUAUUAUAGUUCCAUUUGCAAAGAUUGUGACCUUUGUUUAUCAGUUAUCAUUUCUACACUUCUAAGGGUUAAAAACAAGCAAAGAAGUAAAAAAUAAAAUUUGUCCCUUCAGUAUUCGUUAGUUGUAUAAUUGUUUUAAUUCACAUUGCCUUUGCAGAAAUUAGGAUAUUUUCUUUGUAUGGUAUUGAGUCUCAUCUGGAAAGAUUAAGUAAAUUAAAUUCUCUUUGAUUAUUAUAGAACUGCGGAAAAGGCAAAGAUAAACUUUUAUCAGAUUGAGGUGGCAACCAGGCCGGGGA